rnacentral:lncRNA from 1 species
ACCCAUAGCACCCCAUUCCUUGCUGCAAUGUAAUUAUAUUUAAUUACAAGUGUGCUCCUGGUGGUCUUUAACUGAAGGGCACUGACUGGGUCACCGGUGAAGUUCUCCGCAGGAACUGAGUCAGACCCCAUCUCAGGGCCCUGCACAAAAUAGGUGCCUGCUCUAAGGCGUGGACCCUCGCGACAGCCCUGGCCCGUCUUGACGGGCGACGGUUACUGUACUUGUCCCAACCGUACAGAUGAGAAAGCUGAGACUCAGGGCGAGCAACCCCGGUCCCAGCGGAGCGCCCGGCACGCGCCGACAAUUCAGCACCAGCAGCGGUGGCCACCACUGUGCGCGGAGAUGGCUGCGACGCGUGCGCAGAUCUCGAUCCCAAACUCCCUCCUGCCAGAAUCUGGACCCGAAUCCACGCAUUGCCCAUUUUCCUCUGCCGCUGGAGAGAAUCUCUGAGGUCCCCAGGACAGCCUGCCUGCACGGAAGAGAUGCCCCCUCAAUUAAAUGCUGUUUUCCAUGACUGUCUCUGUUCUUCCCAUAGGCGAAUGGCAGGCAUCCAGAUCUCCAAGAACAGAGGAUUAGGAGAGACUCCACCACCUAUAUCCUCACAGUUAAUUAUCGAUUUGUGUCAGUUGCCCAUUUUCUCACUUCCUGUUUGUGUGUCAAGGAGUAUUAAUAAAUCUUUGCCUAUUUAAAGAUAUUAGCCUUUGAUUUUCAAGUAUUGCAUAUUUUGACAUGUAAAAAUUUGUUAGUUUUAUUUUUUCAACAGAUCUGACCUAUAUAGUUGGGCUUGAGGAAGCUUCCUCAUUCUACAUGUUACUAUGGAUUUUCUAAUAUUAACACAGAGUUGUAUUUUUUCCAUAUAACUUUCUAUUGAAUUUCUUUUUCCAUAUGAUAGGUGGUGAAGGUUUAGCCCAGUAAAGCAGAGAGGUUAAGAAGUUAGAAUGGGGGCUCUGGAUCCAGACCUGUGUAGAUCUGAGUCCUGGCUCUGGCACUUGAAAGCCGUGUGACCUUGGUUAAGAUACUUAGCCCCUCUCUGCUAAAUGGAGAAAUAAGGGCACCUACCCCAUAGGGUAGUUGUGUGAUUACACAAGUUAAUACACUUCAAUCACUAGCAAGAAAGUGAAUGUCAAGCUGUAUUUGUUCAGGCAGCCAUAUGGUAGCCCCACCUCAUUAGUAAACUGAGGUAUUGAAGUAUCUUCUUUUUCUUUCAGAAAAUAUUUGUCAAGCACCUUCUGUGUUCUAAGAACUGUUCUAGAGCUUUGCAUGCUAUGGAGGUCUAGAAAUUCACAUUAUGGUGGCAGGUGACAGACAAUACAAAGAGAUAAAGCAAUUUCAUAUAGUGAUAAGCUAGGGAGGAGUGCUAAAAGGAGCCAAGGUGUAGUGGUGACUGGAAGGUGACCAGAGAAACCGCUGUAGGGUUUCUAAGUGAUGAGAUCUGUGACAAAUCCCUGUGGUCAGCAGCGGGCAUUGGAUAUGUAACUUUAUUCUGUCCCAUUGAUCUUGUAGUCAACCCUGGUCUGUUCUGUAUUGUUUUAAUUACAUAAUCUUUGUAAUAAUCUUUAA